rnacentral:hammerhead_ribozyme from 1 species
AUCUAGCCGACGACUCCCAAAUAGGAUGAAACGCGCGUCCUGGAC